CAGCCUCUAUCCCAGACCAACUAAAUUAGAAUCAGCAUUUUAAGAAGAAUUGCGGAUGUUCAUUGCCACGCUCACCUUUGAGAUGUGCUGGACUUACAGAACCAACUGAGGAACCAGAGGAAAGAAUAAUGAUACCAGUUCCUUUGCAGGAAGGGAUCUUUGAAAUGACGUAGUUCAACUCUUUCAAUUUGUAGUUGAAGAAAUUAGUGGUCAACAAGGUAAAGUAAGUUGGUCAAGGUCAACUCAGAUCUUCUCAUUCCAAUCCAGCAACAACAAUAAUAACAGCAGCAACAAAAUAAAGUAAGACCCCUCUCCCCAUUUCUGGUGAUAUUUCCAGUGCACCACAAAGGCAUUUAAAUCCUACUCUCAUUUCAAUCACAAGCAAAGCAGACAAGAAAAAGGAAAAGGGUGACUCUUCAAGAAACGAGGAGGACUCCUUUAAAUGAGGAAUUGACAUUUUGGAGUACCCGGAUUAAAUUCAGAGACUGAAUCAAUCUAAAGACGAAAGCCGGACUCUAGAGCUUGGAUGUUGAUACCAUUGAAACGGUAGGGGCAGAAAAGGUGUGAUACUUUCCUCCCCAUCAUAAGGGGCACGGCAAACAUGCUUAUAACAAAAGAUAGGCUAAUAAGAGAAAAGCGUAACAAAUUUAUUGAAUCAAAGUUUUAUGUGAUACAGGAGCCUUCAGAAAUGAAGAUGCAAAGACUCAGGGAAAACUGCCUGUUUUUAUGCUUAGAUUCAGUGAAGAAUGGACAGCCUUAUAGAAAUGUGAUUGGACAAAGGGUGUGAUCUAAUGGUA
rnacentral:lncRNA from 1 species